UUGAGUAAUAAGACUGCUAUCUGCCAGGCUCAUAAUAGUGAAAGUGAUGUAUUGCAAUUGCCGAAAAAACUGUAAUAAAAAUAAGUACAUUAUUGCUAAUUACCCGUGUUUGGUUCCUAAUUUCAAUAUUUUAAUUUCUUCUACCGUUGUGAUAUAAUAAGUAAGUGAUCGCGUCGUUGAUGCUUUUGUUUCCGAUAGAUAAAGAAAAUUCCAACAACAGCAAGCAUCUUCUGCCGGCUGGCAAAAGGGAUAGUUGAUGUUUUUGAUGGUGGCUCCCGUUGUCGGUCUUUCAAAGAAGCCGCACCAAUUGGCUCUUGAUGAUGACAGUAAUCCUUCCAAUGUCAAGAUCUGGUAUCCUUCUAGACUUUACACUUUUGUGCAUUGAAUCUGCGUCUGUAAGGCUGUCCAAUCGAUGACUGAAAUCCAGAAAUAGCGAAACCUUUUACAGUAUAAUUGGUG